GUUUUAAUUUGAUCAUGGCUCAGAUUGCACGCUGGCUGGCAUGCCUUACACAUGCAAGUCGAACGGUAACAGGUCUUCGGACGCUGACGAGUGGCGAACGGGUGAGUAAUACAUCGGAACGUGCCCAGUCGUGGGGGAUAACUACUCGAAAGAGUAGCUAAUACCGCAUACGAUCUGAGGAUGAAAGCGGGGGACCUUCGGGCCUCGCGCGAUUGGAGCGGCCGAUGGUAGAUUAGGUAGUUGGUGGGAUAAAAGCUUACCAAGCCGACGAUCUGUAGCUGGUCUGAGAGGACGACCAGCCACACUGGGACUGAGACACGGCCCAGACUCCUACGGGGGAGGGCAGCAGUGGGGGGGGAAAUUUUGGACAAUGGGCGAGCCUGAUCCAUGCUGGUGCUUUGUUGG
rnacentral:rRNA from 1 species